CUCCAGAGUCAGGAAACGGGCAGAAAAAAUCACUGCAGACCCCUCACACCCCGGACACAAACUAUUCAAACUCCUCCCCUCUGGUAGACGCUACAGAUCACUGUUCGCCAAAACCUCCAGACACAAAAACAGUUUCUUCCCCCUCGCCGUCUCACUACUGAACAGCUAACCCACUGUAGCAUAUAUAUUUAUAUAUUUAUCCCUGCACUUCUCGCACUCUCCACUUCUUCUUUGCACUACUGUUUCACAGCUACUGUAUAUAGCCAUUCCGCCUUGUGUAUAUACUUUCUUAAACUUCUUAGACCGUUGCACUGUUUGUUUUGUAUUGUAUUGUGUUGUAAUGUAUAUUUUGUGUAUGCACACUGAGAGUCACUUUACCAAGUCAAAUUCCUUGUUUGUGCAAACUUACUUGGCCAAUAAAACCUGAUUCUGCUCUUGAAAGCCUUCAGGCUAUCUCCGGUGUAUGGGGAUGGAUUGUGUACAAGAUAAAUGUAUACGUCGGGAAAAGAGAGUUGGGGCAGACUUUAUGAGACAAAAUACAUUUUUUCUAAAUAUUGCUGUCUUUCUGUCUCAUUUAGAUGUGCUAUGUUCGUAGUCAUGACUGUUCGCUAGCUAACUAUGAUGGCUAACUAACUAACCACUAUAAUUAGAAAAUACUACAUUUAAAAAGUCUAAAUUUGAAGAACAUAUCAAUAGAAAACAAUACUAGUAUUAUAUUUCUAUUAUUAUUAUUAUAUUAUUAAUAUAUAUAUUAAUAUAUAUGACUAACUAGCUACUAUUGGGUACAAAAAUCUUAUAAUACAAUGGGAAUAACGGUUGAGUCGGACACAAAGAUGGCGGCAGGCGUCACGGAAGUGACGUCUUUGGUACCCAUGAAUUCGUUCGUGCAAUUGGCUGUCAACAGUCAAUGCUGCCGAUUGGCGGCUCACUGGCAUGUCCCGCCUCCUGCCAUGGCAUGUACUUCCUGACUGAUGCCACAUGCCAGUUAAAUAUCUAUUCCCUACUGCAUUCUCGAAGCUUAAACCGUGUACGUUGAGCGGAAUACAUUACAUGGUGUCAGAAAACUGCACAAAAAUGGCUUUGUCGCAGUUCGAACACCCCAAGAUCGAUUGGGACGCCUCUGAUUUAUAUCAAGAGUUUGAAAGAUUCCGUAGUCACGUCACGUUCGUCUUUGAUGGUCCCCUCUCCGACCUAGUGGCUAAGCGACAGGCAGGCUGGCUAGGUACAUGGAUCGGAGAAAAGGGCAGAGAAGUCUACAAGGCGCUAGUCUGGGGAGAAGGAGAAAAGGAAGAUCCGGCUAAGGUAUUGGAUAAAUUUGCCAAUUAUAUCAGACCAAGAAAAAACAAAAGGAUAGCCAGGCACCGUUUCAAACAAAGAAAACAGGGGCCAACCGAAAGUUUCGAUAAGUUCCUGAAAGAUUUGAGGCUCAUUCUGAUGAACUGUGAGUACACUGACCCCGAUGACAUGCUAAUCGACGCCAUUAUCGCGGGAGUGAGAGAUAAACGAGUCAAAGAGCGGCUGCUCGAAAGAGGCGAGGACCUCACGUUAAACAAGGCCAUAGGAAUAACUCAGCAGUUUGAAGCUUCACAAAAACAGACGAAAAUCGUCAGAGAUGAGGAUUCACAAAUAUCAGCAGUGUCUGUUAAACCGAAGCACUUCCUACCAGUGACUUUUCAGCUUCGCAGCCAAAUACCCAGACCCAGACCUUUCAUUAUGUCAGGUACAUGCUUUGAGUUUACCUCAGAGGAAGAACUCGGAGGAGGCACAGACAACUGCAAGUACUGCAGAAAAGUUGUCAUGUGCACAGCAGAGCACAUGCGGUUUCGGCAUUUAAAAAAUGCCAUAUAUUUUGAAUCCAGUGGCAGGAUCAAAUUCACCAUUCCCUGUUUUUGUGGAAGUGGAGGGGGGGAGAUGAAAAGGUGCCAUUGGCACUGUCCCAGGUGUCAGAAUGUCCUGACGCGUGCCCAGAACUUUAAGAAGCACCUUUCAAAUCAUGGUUUGUGCAAAUUAAAAUUAGUUUUACUGUUAAAAUGCUACCCUUGACUUCCUGUUGGUCCCCUAUUUUGAUUUGAUUUUGUUCUUUUCAUGUUGCAGGUCUUAAAGUCACAGAAAAGCAGGAACAUAAAGGUACACCGUUAUAUUAAUGUCAUCUAUGUCUAGCUCAAAUACAUUCUUCUUUUCUACCUUAUAUCACGUCAUUAUAUUUAUCUGGUUCUGUUUUGCAUUUUCCUAUUUUAAAGAUAUGUCCUGUCAUGAACCUUCUGUGGAGGUCCAGAAGUUGGCAUGUGAGGUGUCUAUCUGUAGGGUCUUUAUGAAGGUAGAGGCAGAGAGUGGAAUUCCCGGGACCACCUAAUUAGGACGAAUCAGGGUGUGUGUUACUCUGCACCCCCACCUCUGAUGGCUGCCUCUUUACGGAUCAGGGACUUCUCUCCACCACACGGCAGGAGGAGUGCCAGCAGCUACAGAGGAAGGCCCUUUCUGAAGAAGUUAAUUGCGUUUUCCCCAUUUUUUGGGAAAAUCAAAGACCGCCUGAAAGAUUCAUUCAUUUUUCAGUUUUCACAGGAGAACAUGAUAGCUGGUGUCAUUUUGGCAGGACAAGGGUGUAUUUUGACACCCACAUGGGCCAAUGGCACUGUCAGUGCCAAAACAAAACAAAACAAUGCUCACACCGCUGUGUUUGUAAGUGGUGGUUGUUUCAGGAAGAGAGACACAGACCCGACAACAGACAAAAAGGAAACUCAAGAAAUUGAGGAACUUCUACAACAGUCUGCUUCCACCAGGCAAGGCAUUUCAGAAAUGGAUUGUACAGACAUCUCAUAAAAUCGUUCCUGUUGUGAUUUACACAAUCUAACUAAACCUUAAGAGUAAGACUCAUUUUGUUGGCUGUUAAUGAAUGUCGUAUGGGAAUAAUUCACUCCUGCUACCGUAUAUGACUUUUCAGCAAAAUCUCUCCUUCUGUAAGUGUCACACUCUUCUCUUGUGAACUGCAACCUUCAGAUACCAAAAAUGUCCUUUUAUUGAUUUUAAUGAAUAGGCAUUUACAAAAAACCCGCUUCUAACCUGUAUCCAAGAUGUUCAGCAACAUUUGACUCAUGCUAAAUUAUACACUCAAGGGAUGAGAACGGGAGGGGAAAUCAUUUGUUAUAAAUCUAAUUUUUCUGUUCAAGUACUACAUUCAUAAAUAUGUCUGGUUUUCCUAUGUUUAAAUUGAUUGAAACAAGGCAUAGAUAGCAUACAAUAUUCAAGUAAUGCAAAAGCUGUAAGGACCUUUAUGUUAUGCUGUGCCCAUCUGACCCAAAAUAUUUUGUAUUAUGAUGUCUUAUUAAAGUAUCUAUUUUUUUUGUGAACCUGAUAUCUGAUUGUUCUGGCAUAGCUCAAAUAUUAGUAUGUCCAAUAAAUAAAGUUUUCGACACA
ensembl:lncRNA